UGGGGAAUAUUGCACAAUGGAGGGAACUCUGAUGCAGCGACGCCGCGUGAGUGAUGAAGGAAUUCGUUUCGUAAAACUCUGUUCUAUGGGAAGAAAAGGACUGUACCAUAGGAGAAAGCUCCGGCUAAAUACGUGCCAGCAGCCGCGGUAAUACGUAUGGAGCGAGCGUUGUCCGGAAUUAUUGGGCGUAAAGGGUGCGCAGGCGGCUUUACAAGUUGGAUGUGAAAUAUUGUGGCUCAACCACAAACGAGCAUCCAAAACUGCAAAGCUUGAGUUAAGGAGAGGUAAGUGGAAUUCCUGGUGUAGCGGUGGAAUGCGUAGAUAUCAGGAGGAAUACCGGUGGCGAAGGCGACUUACUGGACUUAAACUGACGCUCAGGCACGAAAGCGUGGGGAGCAAACAGG
rnacentral:rRNA from 1 species